rnacentral:rRNA from 1 species
CCAGCCAUCCCGCGUGUAUGAUGAAGGCCUUCGGGUUGUAAAGUACUUUUGGCAGAGAAGAAAAGGUAUCCCCUAAUACGGGAUACUGCUGACGGUAUCUGCAGAAUAAGCACCGGCUAACUACGUGCCAGCAGCCGCGGUAAUACGUAGGGUGCAAGCGUUAAUCGGAAUUACUGGGCGUAAAGCGUGUGUAGGCGGUUCGGAAAGAAAGAUGUGAAAUCCCAGGGCUCAACCUUGGAACUGCAUUUUUAACUGCCGAGCUAGAGUAUGUCAGAGGGGGGUAGAAUUCCACGUGUAGCAGUGAAAUGCGUAGAUAUGUGGAGGAAUACCGAUGGCGAAGGCAGCCCCCUGGGAUAAUACUGACGCUCAGACACGAAAGCGUGGGGAGCAAACAGGAUUAGAUACCCUGGUAGUCCACGCCCUAAACGAUGUCAACUAGCUGUUGGGGCCGUUAGGCCUUAGUAGCGCAGCUAACGCGUGAAGUUGACCGCCUGGGGAGUACGGUCGCAAGAUUAAAACUCAAAUGA